rnacentral:pre_miRNA from 1 species
UCUAAGGUAGCUGGGAUACAGUGAGCUCUAAGGUAGCUGGGAUCUCACUGUAUCCCAGCUACCUUAGAGCUCACUGUAUCCCAGCUACCUUAGAG